ACCGGCGCACGGGUGCGUAACGCGUAUGCAAUCUACCUUAUACAGGGGGAUAGCCCAGAGAAAUUUGGAUUAAUACCCCAUAGUGUUAUGAAGUGGCAUCACUAUAUAACUAAAGUUCCAACGGUAUAAGAUGAGCAUGCGUCCCAUUAGCUAGUUGGUGUGGUAACGGCACACCAAGGCGACGAUGGGUAGGGGUCCUGAGAGGGAGAUCCCCCACACUGGUACUGAGACACGGACCAGACUCCUACGGGAGGCAGCAGUGAGGAAUAUUGGUCAAUGGACGCAAGUCUGAACCAGCCAUGCCGCGUGCAGGAUGACGGUCCUAUGGAUUGUAAACUGCUUUUGUACAGGAAGAAACACUCCCUCGUGAGGGAGCUUGACGGUACUGUAAGAAUAAGGAUCGGCUAACUCCGUGCCAGCAGCCGCGGUAAUACGGAGGAUCCAAGCGUUAUCCGGAAUCAUUGGGUUUAAAGGGUCCGUAGGCGGUUUUAUAAGUCAGUGGUGAAAUCUGGUCGCUCAACGAUCAAACGGCCAUUGAUACUGUAGAACUUGAAUUAUUAGGAAGUAACUAGAAUAUGUAGUGUAGCGGUGAAAUGCUUAGAGAUUACAUGGAAUACCAAUUGCGAAGGCAGGUUACUACUAAUAUAUUGACGCUGAGGGACGAAAGCGUGGGGAGCGAACAGGAUUAGAUACCCUGGUA
rnacentral:rRNA from 1 species